GCCGGGCGCGGUGGCGCGUGCCUUCAGUCCCAGCGACUCCCGAGGCUGAGGUGGGAGCAUCGCUCGGGCGCAGGGGUUCUGGGCUGCAGGGCGCUGUGCCGAUCGGGUGUCCGCACUGAGCCAGGCAUCAAUAGGGUGACCUCCCGGGACCCCCAGGUUGCCUAAGGAGGUGUGACCCGGCCCAGGUCGGAAACGGAGCAGGUCAAAACACCGGUGCGGAGCAGUAGUGGGAUCGCGCCUGUGAACAGCCACUGCACUCCAGCCUGGGCAACAUAGCAAGACCCCGUCUCUU
rnacentral:SRP_RNA from 1 species